GGGGUCAGAGAGCAGGGGCUUAGGGCAGAGCUGCUUGGCCCUCAGCAUCCCCCCAGGUGGCAGAGGAGCCUUGAAAUAAGCAUUCCAGAGCUCCCAUGCCGGGAAUCAAAUGAAAUCAUUCUGGGUGUGGCCAGAGUGUGCAGAUGUCCCAGGCCCCCGAGGGAUGCAUGAGUUCAUCGGGAGUCAAAGCAAAGCCUGCGCUGGACGGAGUUAAGCCAGCGGGGAGACUUUAUUCUUGAAGGCGAUUGCAGUAGGCGAGAGAGGCAGAGGCUGUCUGAGCUCAGUCACCUCAUUUCGUGCUCCUGGAAGGAGACAGCACUGCCUCCAUUUGGGGUGGUCACAGACAGCUGGGCCCUGGAGGUCCAGAGUUAAGUGGCCAGCUGCUAGCAGAGAGCUGGGCCUCCUGCGCUGCCAAAGCGGGUGGUUUUCUUGUCACAGCAUUGGAGGAGAGAAGAGAGAGAUGGGAUUUUGCCAGAGAGAGGCAUUUUCUUGCUUCAUAAAGAAGGAUGGACCAUUCAUCUGGUUCUAGUGAAUAAGCUGUAAUUCACCAGGGAUCCUUCUGUUAUCCAGCAGCCCAAUUUAUUGCUUUGCUGAGUGCAGGGCUGAGAAGCCGAAGGACACAAAGCUCUCAUCUACGGGAUUAGGAUCAGAUGCCUAAGUGUGAACUCUCCAAGCCUCAUGUGUUGUUGCCAUGGCAGUUCUACUCAAGAGACCUUUUCGGACAGAAAAGAAGAGUACUUGCUCUGGAGGGAACUUGAAUCCUUGUGCCAGUUCCCCGAGGCCAGCGGCUGGUGCGGGAGGCCGCUUCUGAGUAGAGGAGAAAGUUGCCUGUUGAACAUUCAGUCGGCACCAAGGCAGGCAGGUGGUUUUAAGAGAAAAUCUUCUCAAAGGCAGAUGAGCCCUUGUCUUUACAAUCAACAUAUUUAAUUUUAGUGGCAAAUUUAUCCUAAUUACAUUAAUAAUGGGCCCCUUUACUCUUGUAGGAUAUAAAUUGGACAUGAUAGUAUUGAGUUCAUAGGGUUGUGAUGGGAAUUUAAUGAGAUUAUGUGGGUUAUACCUAUCUACAUUGACUUAGAAAUUAUUUUCUCAGAAAUUAAAACAGGAUAAUUUAUUAAUAUAUUUAAAACCAAUAAUUAUAAGCCUGUUGCAUGUAAACAGUCAUAAUAUCUAUUUUUUAUGGAAAAUAAUUAUAUCUUUUGAAACAAAAUCAGUGAUGAGUGACUAUUAUGUUUUUAUGAUGUCUAGCUUAACAGGAGACAGCUGGAUUCUUGUAGCUGCCCCUGCCUUUAAUCUGCCAUGAUCGUUCUGGCUGAAGUAUAUGGAGAAAAUUCAACCCCAUAUAGAUGAGUAGUUGGAAAAGGGAGAGUUAAUAACCUUUUCCUGUGAUUGUGGAUGUUUUCCUUAUCUGUACCAAAACUAGACAAGUGAUAGCUUCUUAAUGAUUAAUUGCAACAUGAAAUCUGAGACCACAUUAACAAACUUUUAAA
rnacentral:lncRNA from 1 species